GCCUGCUACGGUCCUGGCAAGCACCUCGGGAUCCCAUUCCUUCACAGGGACCCUAGCCAGGCAAGCGCGCGCCUCACUGUACCGGAGAGCUCCAAGCACGCGCUUGGUCUGGGGCCCGGACGCUACAUCUGGGAAGGGUUAAAGCUGAUACAUUCCUGUGGGUCAACUAUGCAACUAACUCAGAUUUUGAGCAAACAAAGCUCUCAAGUUGGUGAUCCUCAGGAGUCUCUGCAUUAGUUGGACAGCUCUUCUGGAAUUAUCUUCUAAGUCAACUGUGGGUUGGGUAGGUGGCUCUGCUGAUUUUUCGCUGGACUUCCACAUUUGGGACGAGUUGGCUGUCAUCAGCUCUAGAAAGGGUGUGGCCGUUUUACAUUGGCUGUUUUCCUCACAUUCCUCAAGCAGGUACUGUAAUAAAGAACUGGAGAAAUACAGUCAGAUGGGAAGUAGCCCUUGCUGUCAAGGAGCUUGCCAUCUAAUGGGGGAGACAGGCAAGUAAACCAAAGACUACACAGUGCAGUAUGGUAAGUGCCAUGAUUUUGAUGUGACAGGGCACAGUGGACGACCUUCCAAAUCAAAGCAAGUAACUAGGGGUUGACAAUGGUAAGUAUCAUAGUUGAAGUAUCCUUGAACAAGGUUUCAGGAAGAAGAAGAAGGGAAUUUCAUGCAGGGAAACAGCCAAAGCUCAGUGAGUCAAAAUAUCACAGCAUUCUUGGUAAGCCCAAUUGUUUUUUCUGUUUUGCUAUUUUGG
rnacentral:lncRNA from 1 species